CGAAUCGGCAAUUUUAAGGAUAAUUAAAUCGGACAGUUUUCUCAGUAUAAUUAAAUCAUAAUGAGUAUUAUAAUUAUUUUAACAGGUAAUUUAUAAGCAAUUAAUACAGUUGUAAACCAAUCUCUACAAGCCAAUUUCUACAAGUAAAAAAAUGUUGAAAUGUUUUAAUUUUUAUUAGCAAUUCGGGAAAUCUUUAAAUUUUUUUACAACCAAAGAAAAAAAAAAAUGUACACUAUACGUAUAUGUGUGUGCGUGCAUAAAGAUAUACAUGUGCAUUUAAGAUGUGCAACGUAAGCAGGAAACAUAAAAUCCGGUUUUCGCAGACUAACAUAGUAUAAUUAUUACGAUAAA